UACGUAGGGGGCAAGCGUUGUUCGGAAUUACUGGGCGUAAAGGGCGCGUAGGCGGCACGACAAGUCGGGAGUGAAAGCCCGGGGCUCAACCCCGGAGGGUCUCUCGAAACUGUCGAGCUAGAGUGCGGAAGAGGCAAUCGGAAUUCCCAGUGUAGCGGUGAAAUGCGUAGAUAUUGGGAAGAACACCGGAGGCGAAGGCGGGUUGCUGGGCCGACACUGACGGCUGAGGCGCGAAAGCCAGGGGAGCAAACG
rnacentral:rRNA from 1 species